rnacentral:rRNA from 1 species
GAUGAACGCUAGCUACAGGCUUAACACAUGCAAGUCGCGGGGCAGCAUGGGGGUUGCUUGCAAUCCCCGAUGGCGACCGGCGCACGGGUGAGUAACGCGUAUCCAACCUGCCCUUCACCACGGGAUAACCCGGCGAAAGUCGGACUAAUACCGUAUGUUGUCCAUUGACGGCAUCCGAUUUGGACGAAAGGUUUGGCGGUGAAGGAUGGGGAUGCGUCCGAUUAGCUGGACGGCGGGGUGACGGCCCACCGUGGCGACGAUCGGUAGGGGUUCUGAGAGGAAGGUCUCCCACACUGGAACUGAGACACGGUCCAGACUCCUACGGGAGGCAGCAGUGAGGAAUAUUGGUCAAUGGGCGUAAGCCUGAACCAGCCAAGUAGCGUGCAGGAUGACGGCCCUAUGGGUUGUAAACUGCUUUUAUGCGGGGAUAAAGUGGCCCACGUGUGGGUUUUUGCAGGUACCGCAUGAAUAAGGACCGGCUAAUUCCGUG